rnacentral:rRNA from 1 species
GACGAACGCUGGCGGCGUGCUUAACACAUGCAAGUCGAGCGGUAAGGCCCUUUCGGGGGUACACGAGCGGCGAACGGGUGAGUAACACGUGGGUGACCUGCCCUUAGCUCUGGGAUAAGCCUGGGAAACUGGGUCUAAUACCGGAUAUGACUCCAUGACGCAUGUUGUGGGGUGGAAAGCCUUGUGCGGCUAGGGAUGGGCCUGCGGCCUAUCAGCUUGUUGGUGGGGUGAUGGGCCUACCAAGGCGACGACGGGUAGCCGGCCUGAGAGGGCGACCGGCCACACUGGGGACUGAGACACGGCCCAGACUCCUACGGGAGGCAGCAGUGGGGAAUAUUGCGCAAUGGGCGGAAGCCUGACGCAGCGACGCCGCGUGGGGAUGACGGCC